AAACCGUCCACUCCUUUCUCAGUCUCAGCUAAUUUCUUAGUUUCCAGUUCAUUCCAAGGAAAGACCACCAUUCUCCAGCCCCAGAACAGCUAUGCUACUUUCAAGUGCUUUCAUUCAACGAAUGGAUUAAACUAAAAACAGUAGUACUUCCACUCAGGCCCAACGCCCCCUCUCCAGAGAAACCACUGAGCCUCACAGGAGAGCAGCUGGGGCUGAGAGGAGCCAGUUGCUGCUCAGAGGAGGUAGGGGUAAAAAAUCCAAUUCCUAUGGAAGUAUGAAAUCAUAUGACCUCAGCCAGAUCAAGUUGCUGCAGAGGUGAGGAGGGUCCAGACUCCAGGAGACUCUUGUCUGCUCACAUCAGCAUAGCAGAAGGAUGAGUUUCUACCAGGACUACAGGGGAGAUGACACAAGGCAGACAGAGAGAGAAGGACCCCUGAGCUGGCUCAUGCUUGCCUGGAUUCCUAUUCACAGACAAGGAAAUGACCCAUCUGGGAGCUAGGAAUGCUCGGAUCAGCAGCUCUGAGACAAAUGAUACAGUGAAUAUCAGCUAACUACUGCCGCAGUGUCGUGUCUUCUGCCUUCAGCUAACUACUGCAGCAGCACCGUGCCAUGCUUCCUGCCAUAAUGGUGACAGGUUUGACUGUCCCCAGGAACUGUGAUCCCAAAUUAAAUACUUUUGUUUAU
rnacentral:lncRNA from 1 species